GCUAUGAGACGAACGCCAGACCAGCAGGUCUAACAACCAGCGAGGUCGUCAGUGGCUCGCCGGUCAACAGAGAACCUACGUGACCAGAUAAGACCAGUGGACAAAGGGUGACCGUUUACCGGUCUUAAACCUUUUGACCGACACAUGUUGUUGUGGUCAUCAUAUAUAAGCCUCAGUUCCCCUAUAGUGUUUCCGUGUACAGAAUGGUUGACGGCUAUUUUGGAGGGGUGUCCACGGCUAUCCUAGUUGCCAUCUUCAUGCUAGGAUGUAUGUUCUGGGGGCUACUGAGACGAUGCGGUGUUUGGAAGGAUGGUAAAUGGACAAGAAGAGACUGGAGAAACCGCCCAGCUCCACCUGUUCCUCGACACCCAGCAGGAGGUCCAGAAACAAGUCACGUAUAUCAACAGGAUGUGCAUUGUGAGUCGUUUCCGGUUGUAACCGGAAAUGGGCAAAAUUUCAACUCUGGGGACAUUUCGAUGACACGAAACCCCGCCGCGUACUACGAUCCCGCAAACUCUGACAAUGUGUUUAUUAUAUCACAAAAUGUACUCCCGCCCCCUCCACCGUAUACAAGGACGGCAGAGCCAGACCCGCCUCCACCGUAUGCUCCGUGAACUUCAUGGACAUGUGCAACGAGUUUCUGUUAAAGUGACACGUCAUUAACUGAAUCGUCCAGUUUUCGACUGAUUGAUCCGAGAGGGGCACCAAGACUAUUUGAUGAACGUGAUCGACUGGAGUCUGGUAUUUUGCAAUUGUGUUCAUAGCUGUGUGUCAGUAUACAGAUAUAAUGUAUUCUGUGCACAUAGUUGUACUUCCAAAUUUUACACUACAUGAAGAAUCAGUAUCUAGCGAUAAAGUGUGACUCCCAGGUAAUUCUGGAGCAUAAUUGGAUUUCAUUACCGAUGCUUUUAAAUGGCGAUAUAUGUCAAGUUAAAGUCGUCACAACAGCUCAUUGUAUGACCUAGUCUGAAACACGUUUCGUUCCUUUGUUACAACUGGGUUGUUUGAUCCAGAUUUGAUUAUUAACAGCGUGACGUGACAUGGAUGGAAUAUUGACUGUAAACAAUACUCACCUGCGAAUUGUUCAACUUGAGUGACAAAAGCGUUUUUUCACACAUACCCAAGGCAGCAUAGUGAUGGCAAAAAGAAUGUCAAUAUUUGUUUUGUGAGACGAUUGUCGAGUAUGUACGUGUACACACUAAACGUGUGACCCAGUCCCGUCUAUUUCACCUAAGUCAUAAACCUGUCUGACCCUUAUCCCUCACAUCGGCAGAAGUAAGCCACUGUGUCUGCCGGGGUGUAGGGUAUUGUUCUUGUUACGAGCUCCGAAUUAACUGGUUGGCGUAUGCCUCUUCCUUG